UGAUGCUUCCCUUGGCACAAAUGUCCGCUCUGUCGCCUGCUACGAAUCAGACUUUUCCACGGAUCUUCGGUUUUUGAAAUAAAUUGGGAAAUAUAAGGAAAAAAUGGCGCGUCUUCCAGAGUACGCAGAAUCUCUUCGAUAACUCGACAGCUGCUACCGUGGCAGCGUAAAUCGUCCGCAAAAAUUGAAAAAUCUACAAGAACCGCGUAUCGAAGGUUGCAAAACCGCGAUCGUAUACGCAGAUCGGAAGGCGACGACGAAAAGGUGGCCAAGGAGUAAGAUUCGACGAAACUUUUAUUCGUGUUUGACAAGGCCGGAGAUAUCCGUUGAUAUAAUCCCGCGGGAUGACAAUAUUUUUAAUUCCAGGCGAGAUGUAACAGGAUCAGCGAGAGCGAAGUUUUAGGCUCGAGAAGACGAACCAUUUUGUUUCCUCCUCGAAUUCGCGGGUAAUACGUAAUCCUCUUAGAGACGUCAGGUAUCAAGGAGCACCUACAGCGGUAGAACACGUCGACGAUCCUUUUUACCGGAAACAAAUAUUUUAUCUCACAAGGUCCUUUCCAAUAGCGUUCAUCGAUUCGCCGCACGACUGUUACAGCCAUCGAAUCUUAGGAUAAUUAAAUUCAACGAACAAGAAAACCAAACUUUUACCUACGUUGAGCUAUCCACUCGAUUAUAGGUUUGUAGCUUCGUUUUCUAAAAUCCUAAGCCAAACCAAGCACAACCCGAGAUACACUGCCCUUGUAAGUCCAUAAGUAUUAGGCGAUUAAAUGGAACUUGGACGGAAAUAUAUUUUCUAUUUAUGCGCGUAAGUGCAUCUCUAUCUGUAUAUUCUGCACAUUUCUCGCACGUAUCGAAUUUAUUUAGGAAUCAGCUCGGUUAGUUAUCGUCGCUUACUAAAUCUCGCCAUCGUAGACUAUGAAGUAGAACGCGACUACUCUGUUCUUGUCAUAUCUUUUGCUACCUCGAUCGAAUAUGCGCGCACCAAAUAUAGCAUCUACAGGGAUUUUUCAAUCGCCUUCUUGUAACAGAG